GGCUAUUAUAGUUUCGGAGAUUUCGUGAUGAGUGAAUCAAUCUACCAUCCCCCAUUUUAACCCCAAAAGGGAGUUGCUUUCUAAAGUUACAUUAUUUGGACACCUUUUCGCCAUGUAAAGAGCGAACAUUUUAAAUUUCAAGUCUUACUUCAAAAACAUAGGACUUUCAUACAAACUUGCAACCCCCGUUUUACCCCCUUAGGGGUCGAGUUUCGUAAAAUUCGUUCUUAGCGGAUGUCUACGUCCUAUAAGGAGCCUACCUGCCAAAUUUCAAGUUUGUAGGUGUUAUAGUUUCGGAGAUUUCGUGAUGAGUGAGUAAACCUACCAUCCCCCGUUUUAACCCCAAAAGGGAGUUGAUUUCUAAAGAUUCAUUAUUUGGACACCUUCUCAUCAUCUAUAAGGUAUACAUUUUAAAUUUCAAGUCUCUUACGUCAAAAACAUGGGACUCUCAUA
rnacentral:misc_RNA from 1 species